rnacentral:tRNA from 1 species
UGGCUCAGUUGGUAGAGCGUGGUGUUUGCAACGCCAGCAUUGUGGGUUUGAUUCCCAC